GUAACGCGACGCUUCCCGUCCUGCGGGGCGCGGCGGUGCCGAUCCGCUGUUCCGUUCCGUCUCCGUUCCGGGAGAUGAGCGGUGCCCGCGUUCUUUCUGCUCCGGGCUGCUUUGAAUAGAGCCGCCCCAGAAACAAAGCGCCUCGGUGCUCGCGUUGAACUUUCCGAACGGUGCCGUGACGCGGCGAUGCGGCGCCUCUGGUUGUCGGGAAGCGUUCGGUGUCACCGCCGGGACCUGCAGCGAGGAGCCGCUGAAUGGGAGCUCUGCUGGGUGGAUGGGAUCCUCAGCGGGUCGGGUGUUGCCCUUUUCGGGCUGUGAGUUUGCUGUGCGAGGAGUGUUUCGUGUGUGAAAGAAAGCAAAAUCACUUUUUAAGCAAAAAAAGCCUGGAUUCUGCUCGGUGUUGGACCAGCAGAGAUGUUGGUGUCUAUGAAAAGGAAAAAGCAGGGAACGUUUCUGUCACCUUUGGCUGAAACUUUACCAGCAAGGGUGUAUGAGGGCUGCGCUCAGCAGGACCGGCCCAUGCCAUCUCCCUGGAGGAAGCCUUUCUGCAGCGCUGUGAGCUGCCUGCCUUCGGGACAAGGUUCAGGUUAGGAAGCAUUUGGAUUUGUUGGCCUUCGUGCUCUUCAGGUAAGGGUUGUUUCCCUGGAAAAUCCUGCAGAGGAAGAACACCUCCACCCCAAAGCCGCCCCGGCAGUUGUUGCUGGGCGUUGCUGCUGUCCCACGCCGCACUGAUGCUGUUCAGCCUUAUGGCAGCAGUGGUUUUUGUUUGCUGUCCGUCUUUGCCAAGCUCAUCCCUCCAUGCAAAUGCAGGCAGAGUAAUGAAAGGCGCUCACAGUGUCUUCCUUAAGGAGCGCUAGAUUUUGGUUUAAUCUCUUGCUGUCAAUGGGAAGCGCAGCGUCUGUGUUUGUUUCACAGCUUUCUGCUGGUUCCGGGAGCAGUCUGGCAGAGCCUGCAGUUACUGAGCAAGAGUUAGAAAGGGUUUGUUUGAAGUUCUCUGCGUUGCACAGCAUGUGGGCUCUCGGUUCUGCCCCAGCGCUGUCAGCCAGCAGCUGUUCCAAUGGGGCAGCAGAAGGACUUUGUGACCAAGGGGAGAAAUCUGUGCCAAAUGUCUGCAGCUGAAGAAGGGCAGCAACUGCGUGACCUGAGCAGAGGAGAUGGCAGCAGCUCAGGUCCAACCCGGUCUGAUUUUUAGAGCUGAGAAUGCAGUGUUUGUUUAUGCAGAAGUUAAAAGCAUAAGCUAAGCUGCUAUUAAUUACAGCCUUCUUUGUGUGUGAGUUCUCCAGGAGUUCAGCCUGAUUCCUCGUAUUGUUGGCCAGACAAAGGGCAAGGAGCUCUGUGCGAGGAGAGGAAAUGACUGCGUUCUGUGCCCUGAAUGUCCAUAUUAGGUAUAAACUAAAUAUAGGAGUGUAAUCCAGGAGUGAAGUCAUAUCUGUGUGUUUUCAUGGGAAGAGCUAAUGAGAUCAGUCAGCGCUACUGGAUCGCCUUCAGAGCUUUUUGGCUCCGUUCAAGAAUGACUAUUUUGGCUAGACUUUGGUCUGUGCUUUGGAGGGCUGCUAUUUUUAAAUGAAGGAAAUAGGUUUGUUUUUU